AUGGGAGCUUGCUCCCUGAUGUUAGCGGCGGACGGGUGAGUAACACGUGGGUAACCUGCCUGUAAGACUGGGAUAACUCCGGGAAACCGGGGCUAAUACCGGAUGCUUGUUUGAACCGCAUGGUUCAAACAUAAAAGGUGGCUUCGGCUACCACUUACAGAUGGACCCGCGGCGCAUUAGCUAGUUGGUGAGGUAAUGGCUCACCAAGGCAACGAUGCGUAGCCGACCUGAGAGGGUGAUCGGCCACACUGGGACUGAGACACGGCCCAGACUCCUACGGGAGGCAGCAGUAGGGAAUCUUCCGCAAUGGACGAAAGUCUGACGGAGCAACGCCGCGUGAGUGAUGAAGGUUUUCGGAUCGUAAAGCUCUGUUGUUAGGGAAGAACAAGUACCGUUCGAAUAGGGCGGUACCUUGACGGUACCUAACCAGAAAGCCACGGCUAACUACGUGCCAGCAGCCGCGGUAAUACGUAGGUGGCAAGCGUUGUCCGGAAUUAUUGGGCGUAAAGGGCUCGCAGGCGGUUUCUUAAGUCUGAUGUGAAAGCCCCCGGCUCAACCGGGGAGGGUCAUUGGAAACUGGGGAACUUGAGUGCAGAAGAGGAGAGUGGAAUUCCACGUGUAGCGGUGAAAUGCGUAGAGAUGUGGAGGAACACCAGUGGCGAAGGCGACUCUCUGGUCUGUAACUGACGCUGAGGAGCG
rnacentral:rRNA from 1 species